CCGACCUUAGCUCAGUUGGUAGAGCGGAGGACUGUAGUGGGUCAAUCCAGCCAUCCUUAGGUCGCUGGUUCGAAUCCGGCAGGUCGGA
rnacentral:tRNA from 1 species